rnacentral:rRNA from 1 species
GAUGAACGCUGGCGGCGUGCCUAAUACAUGCAAGUCGAGCGAACGGACGAGAAGCUUGCUCCUCUGAUGUUAGCGGCGGACGGGUGAGUAACACGUGGAUAACCUACCUAUAAGACUGUGAUAACUUCGGGAAACCGGAGCUAAUACCGGAUAAUAUUUUGAACCGCAUGGUUCAAAAGUGAAAGACGGUUUUGCUGUCACUUAUAGAUGGAUCCGCGCUGCAUUAGCUAGUUGGUAAGGUAACGGCUUACCAAGGCAACGAUGCAUAGCCGACCUGAGAGGGUGAUCGGCCACACUGGAACUGAGACACGGUCCAGACUCCUACGGGAGGCAGCAGUAGGGAAUCUUCCGCAAUGGGCGCAAGCCUGACGGAGCAACGCCGCGUGAGUGAUGAAGGUCUUCGGAUCGUAAAACUCUGUUAUUAGGGAAGAACAUAUGUGUAAGUAACUGUGCACGUCUUGACGGUACCUAAUCAGAAAGCCACGGCUAACUACGUG